CGAAUACUCCCUCCGUUCCAUAAUACAUGCUUUCUAUUUGUCAAAAUAUAGAUGUAUCUAGACAUGUUUUAGUAUAUAGAUAUAUCCAUUUUUGGACAAAUGGAAGUCAAUUAUUUUGGAAUGGAGGGAGUAGAAA
rfam:Triticum aestivum genome assembly, contig: Triticum_aestivum_CS42_TGACv1_scaffold_320317_4BL